rnacentral:misc_RNA from 1 species
GUUUUAAACAAAUUCAACUUCUAUAUCAAAUACCAAAUAAACUAAAUUUGUACAAACUACUUCACAACAUGACAGGACCAAAGCAUAAACACCUUUUAGUUAAAGAAAGAAUGAAGUUACGAUUUGAGAAAGAUAUGAAAUGUUCAGUGCAGCAUGGAUUAGUGCGUAUAAUACACAACAAGGAACAGUGAAAUAAGAUCUCCAGGACUUACCAUUCAGCACUUCACCAUUCUUAAAAACAUAUAGUCGCCAUCUUAUAUCAGGUUUGCGAGCAUCUGG